rnacentral:rRNA from 1 species
UACGGGGGGAGCAAGCGUUGUUCGGAUUUACUGGGCGUAAAGGGCGCGUAGGCGGCCAGUGCAAGUCAGUUGUGAAAUCUCCGAGCUUAACUCGGAAAGGUCAACUGAUACUGCUCGGCUAGAGUGCGGAAGGGGCAACUGGAAUUCUCGGUGUAGCGGUGAAAUGCGUAGAUAUCGAGAGGAACACCUGCGGCGAAGGCGGGUUGCUGGGCUGACACUGACGCUGAAACGCGAAAGCUAGGGGAGCGAACGGG